rnacentral:rRNA from 1 species
UACAGAGGGUGCAAGCGUUGCUCGGAAUCAUUGGGCGUAAAGGGUAUGUAGGUGGUCUCAUUUGUCUGGGGUGAAAGCCUUGAGCUUAACUCGAGAAGUGCCCCGGAAACGGUGAGACUGGAGUCUUGGAGAGGUUAGCGGAAUUCCCGGUGUAGCGGUGAAAUGCGUAGAGAUGUGGAGGAACACCAGUGGCGAAGGCGGCAUCCUGGACCGGUAUUGACGCUGAGGCGCGAAAGCCAGGGGAGCAAACGGG